AAUUCUCAACUUAAACAGUGCAUCUUUUUCCAAGUGAAUUCAAAAAGAGACAAAUACAAUACAAUGCAUCUUAAUGACGCAAGACAACCUAUCAAAAAAGAAAAAGAAAAAAGACCCAGGUCACAAAAUUGAGAGCCAAUCCUAACAAAGAAGGAAAAUGAUCCAGACGGUGCGUUUCGAGCCAUUCUUCUUGUGUUGCUGUAUCCGACACCUCUCUUCCGUCAAUGAAAACUUCAUCCGCAACGGAGCUGGCAAGUCGAAUAAGCCGAGUUCUAAUCUCCGCUUCGAACCACACAAGGCCGACCCGCUCAUGGAACCCUUCACUCGAGAACAUUCUUCACCAGCUCGGUUGCCGCGACUCACUGAGUCCGUCACUCGUGGCCCGAGUUAUCGACCCCUUCCUCCUCACCCACCAUUCACUCGCUCUCGGCUUCUUCAAUUGGGCUUCCCAGCAACCAUCGUUCUCUCACACCUCCAUCACCUAUAAAUCCGUCCUCAAGUCUCUCUCUUUCUCCCGCCAAUUCAACGCCAUUGAUGCUCUCCUCAAGCAAGUCAAAGCCCAGAAAAUCGGCCUCGAUGCUUCUGUUUAUCGCUCCGUAAUUGCUUCACUUAUCAUAGGAAGGAAAACCCACAACGCGUUUCUGGUCUUUAGCGAGGUUUCCUCGCUAAUUAAAGAUAUUGGGCACGAGAUUUGUAACUCACUUCUGGCUGCUCUAGCUUGUGAUGGAUAUUUUGAGUAUGCCCAGAAGAUAUUUGAUGAAAUGACACUUAAGGCUAUCCCUUUAAGCACUCUGGGGUUUGGUGUGUUUAUAUGGAGGCUCUGUGGACAUGCUGAAUUGGGUAAAACUUUGAGCAUGUUAGAUGAGGUUAGGAGAGGUGGUUCAGAAAUUAACGGGUCAGUGACCGCGCUUUUGAUCAUUCACGGGUUUUGUCAGGCUUCGAGAGUGUCAGAGGCUUUCUGGGUAUUGGAUGAGCUGAGGAGUAGACAGUGCAAACCCGAUUUCAUGGCAUAUAGGAUUGUCGCCGAAGCAUUUCGAUCGACUGGGAGUGUAGUUGAUGUAGAAAAGGUUUUGAAGAAGAAGAGAAAGUUAGGUGUAGCUCCAAGGACUAACGAUUAUAGACAGUUUAUAUUUGAUUUGAUUUCAGAAAGGCGGAUAUGUGAAGCAAAAGAAUUGGGUGAAGUUAUUAUUAGCGGGAAUUUUCCGAUUGACGAUGAUGUUCUCAACGUGUUAAUAGGAUCAGUGUCGGCGAUUGAUCCUACCUCUGCAAUAGUGUUCUUCAGAUUCAUGAUUGAAAAGCAGAGAUUCCCAACUCUUUUGACUUUGUGCAAUUUGAGCAGAAAUCUAUGUAAGCAUAGCAAUACCGAUGAGUUGUUGGUAGUUUUUCAAGUUUUGGCUUCUGGCGACUAUUUCAAAGAUUUGGAGACUUACAAUGUCAUGGUGUCAUUCUUGUGCAAAGCAGGGAUGGUGAAAGAAGCAUAUGGGGUUCUUCAGCAGAUGAAGAAAAAAGGGUUAGGCCCAGACGUUUCGACUUAUAAUUCUCUUAUUGAAACAUGUUGUAGAGAAGAUUUAUUGAGGCCUGCUAAAAGGUUAUGGGAUGAGAUGUUUGCAAGUGGGUGCAGAGGAAACUUGAAGACUUACAAUAUCCUAAUUCGGAAGUUUUCGGAAGUGGGUCAGGUUGAUGAGGCACAAAGGCUCUUUUACCACAUGUUGGGUAAAGGGGUUGCACCUGACGUGAUGACAUACACAUCUCUACUUGAAGGGCUUUGCCAAGAAACGAAGCUUCAAGCUGCUUUCGACGUUUUCCGCAAGUCUGUUGAACAGGAUUUUAUGCUUGCACAAAAUGUGCUGGGUACAUUUACUCGCUCUUUGUGCAAAGCAGGUUUUUUUCUUGAUGCUUCUAAGUUACUAUGCGGCCUCAGUAAUGAUGUAGCACAGUCAGAUUCCCAUGUAAUUUUGCUGAAGUAUUUAGCCGAUGCUAAAGAGAUUCCAGUUGCUAUUGAACACAUUAAAUGGGUUCAAGAAACCUCACCCUCGAUGUUGCAAAUUGUAUCAGCUGAACUUUUAGCAUCCCUUUCUUCUUCUUCAAGACUAGAGCCAACUCGACAGUUGGUUCAAACAAUUCAGGAAAUAUCAGGUCUCAAGUAAUAAUUCUUGGAAGGAUUUUCAGGUCAUGUUAGGUUAGUUCAAAGUAUAGAAGUUGGCGUCUGGAUAUUUUAAUUUCAACGAUCAAUUGCAGAUCCUCAACAUCAUCGAUUGUCAUGCUUUGCUCCCUAAAUUUUUCUCUAUGAUUCUCAUUGUCGUCAUUCACCACUUUGGUGUGUUGUUGCACCACCAGAAUUCUGCUUUUGC